CGAUGCGCGCAUUGGUGAUGGAUUGCGACAGUGUGCUAUCUGUCUGCUGAGCGGGGGUAGGUGCAAGCUGCAAGGGUGCUCAAUCACGAUCCCAGCCCUAGACUAUACUGGACUGGACUCGACUCGAUGGAAAACAAACAAACAGAGAGAGAGAGUGGAAGAGUGGGAGAAAGGAGGGCCCCAUGUGAGCUCAUUCCCUGCACUGCACGGCGUUGUUGCAGAUGAAAACGAAGAUGAAGAUGUGCAGUGAGGUGAGGCCGAGUUGUGUUUUAUAAAAUAAAGAAAAUAUAAUAUAAUAUAAACAAACAAAUAAAG
rnacentral:lncRNA from 1 species